CUUCCUACGGGGGGCAGCAGUGAGGAAUAUUGGUCAAUGGGCGGGAGCCUGAACCAGCCAAGUCGCGUGAGGGAUGACGGCCCUAUGGGUUGUAAACCUCUUUUGCCGGGGAGCAAAGUGCCGCACGUGUGCGGUUUGGAGAGAACCCGGAGAAAAAGCAUCGGCUAACUCCGUGCCAGCAGCCGCGGUAAUACGGAGGAUGCGAGCGUUAUCCGGAUUUAUUGGGUUUAAAGGGGGCGUAGGCGGACGAUUAAGUCAGCGGUAAAAAUGUGGGGCGCAACCUCGUAGAGCCGUUGGAACUGGGG
rnacentral:rRNA from 1 species